rnacentral:rRNA from 1 species
AACGAACGCUAGCGGCAUGCCUAACACAUGCAAGUCGAACGAAGCCUUCGGGCUUAGUGGCGCACGGGUGCGUAACGCGUGGGAAUCUGCCCUUGGGUUCGGAAUAACAGUUAGAAAUGACUGCUAAUACCGGAUGAUGUCUUCGGACCAAAGAUUUAUCGCCCAAGGAUGAGCCCGCGUAGGAUUAGGUAGUUGGUGGGGUAAUGGCCCACCAAGCCGACGAUCCUUAGCUGGUCCGAGAGGAUGAUCAGCCACACCGGGACUGAGACACGGCCCAGACUCCUACGGGAGGCAGCAGUGGGGAAUAUUGGACAAUGGGCGUAAGCCUGAUCCAGCAAUGCCGCGUGAGUGAUGAGGGCCUUAGGGUUGUAAAGCUCUUUUACCAGGGAUGAUAAUGACAGUACCUGGAGAAUAAGCUCCGGCUAACUCCGUGCCAGCAGCCGCCGCAGUAA